AGUGAACGCUGGCGGUAGGCCUAACACAUGCAAGUCGAACGGCAGCACAGUAAGAGCUUGCUCUUACGGGUGGCGAGUGGCGGACGGGUGAGGUAUACAUCGGAAUCUACUUUUUCGUGGGGGAUAACGUAGGGAAACUUACGCUAAUACCGCAUACUACCUACGGGUGAAAGCAGGGGAUCUUCGGACCUUGCGCGAUUGAAUGAGCCGAUGUCGGAUUAGCUAGUUGGCGGGGUAAAGGCCCACCAAGGCGACGAUCCGUAGCUGGUCUGAGAGGAUGAUCAGCCACACUGGAACUGAGACACGGUCCAGACUCCUACGGGAGGCAGCAGUGGGGAAUAUUGGACAAUGGGCGCAAGCCUGAUCCAGCCAUACCGCGUGGGUGAAGAAGGCCUUCGGGUUGUAAAGCCCUUUUGUUGGGAAAGAAAAGCAGAAGGUUAAUACCCCGCUGUUCUGACGGUACCCAAAGAAUAAGCACCGGCUAACUUCGUG
rnacentral:rRNA from 1 species